rnacentral:lncRNA from 1 species
UUAUAUUUAUUUAUUAAUUAUUGGACUUCCGUAAAACUGUUCACUCGUAACGAGGUGGCAAAUUUUCUUCCCGGAAGUUUCAACAAAACUCACCUUUAGCCUAAUUUGAAUAUUCCGGACAUUUUUCGUGUUUUGACUUUUUCGAUCCGGAGUACGGUUUUCCCCGGAGUCGGUCCGGCGGAGUUUUCGGGUAUUUUAAUUGUCGAUAAUUAUCCAGUUUGUCUCGAUAAACGUGAACCGAGAUAUUUUCUUCAUCCUUAUCAUGUAAUAAUUGCAGUGGGACCCGCAGACCAAUAAUUGAGUUAAAAAGCCCCGUUUUGAUGAUUAUCUUGAAAACUAGUACCGAUUGGACCCCACUUUCUUAAUAUAAAGCUAUUAAAUACGUAUUUUCAUGUCAUAAACGAUCCAAAGGGGUACCAAUUAUUUGUAAAUAUAAAUAUACCUUUCUAGAGCUUAUUUUCACCCGUAAAAUCAUUUCACCAGUUUCUCUGCACGAAUACCGAGAGAAACCGAGCGGUGUUCUUCGUGUUCUUCGUAAUCAAACGUGGAUUUGAAGGCGUUAUUGGAGUCAGAAUCAAGCGUGCGAAUAGUCAAAUCGAAGAUAUUGAAGAGUAGAACUCAAAUCAAGCAUCAAAAACAACCUGAGAUUCACAGGUAGGGAGUAAUUGAAGUUUUAAAAUUCGAAUUAUUAUGAUUUAAAUAGUGAAUUUUUGAAAACGUGUUUGUUUGAUGGUUUUGAUGAUUCCAUGUUGUAGAGCGUGUUUUUCUCGUCGUUUUGGUAUAUUAUAUGUUGAAUUUUGACUUCCAUAACAUAGAGAAAAGUCAGUUUAAUCUUUGAAAAGUCAUGUUCUUGGUGUUCUUGAGGAGUUCGCCGGAAUAUUUGAGUUUUUCGCCGGCAAAUCGUUCUGAUGAUUCUGGGUAGAAGCUGAGCAUACCAUUUGAUAGAUCGUAGCUUGUAGAAUCUGUUGGUAGUGUCCAAUCGUGCAAAGGGGCGGUGGAAACGUCGCCAGAAUCUGUAUUUUCAAGUCGGCGGCGGAGCUCUUUGGCUCCAUUUUCCGGCUUACUCGGGGGUUGGAUGUGAGUUCUGAAACCAGGAAUGAACUCCUGACGUUGUGCAGAUUGUUUGGUGUUGAUUUGGUGGGUGGAGGAAGCCGGGAGAGUAAUCUCCGGCGAAUCGGGGCGGUGGCGGCGGAAAAUAUCCGUUUGCACCCCCCAACUUUUGGAGAUGGUGACUUUGAGGCACCCAGGUUUUCAUUCUUUCAAAACAAACCCUGAUAGUUUCAGUUUUUACAAAUUAGACCCUGUGACCAAGUUUCAAAAUCUUACAGAAUAAACCUUUUCAUUUUGGAAAUGUUUUUAAUUAUUUUUAAUUAUUUUGAUUUUCAAAAAUAGUUUUUAAAUUAUUUCUUUACUCAAAAAUAAAUCUAAUUUGAUUUAUUAAUUAAUUUUAAUUAGUAAUUAAUUAUUUUAAUUAAUUAUUAAUUGAUUUUAAUUGAUUAAUUAAUUGGACUUAAUUAUCCUUUUUACUUUAAUCAAAUCGAAAAAUAGUUUCGAGCUUUAAAAUAUUUUUCCAAAUUAUUUUCAAGGCUCGAUAAUUAUUUAUGAAUGAUUUCAAGUCCAAUUUCAAGUAUUUGGGACUUGAUUAUUUAUCUGAAAAGUGAUUCUUUUAUCGAUUUUAAUUCCGAAAAAUGUUUAAAAAUUACAGAAAUUUCCCGAAAAAUCAUUUUGAACUCAAGAUUUGAUUUGACCUCUAUUGGGGUGGGAAACCUUAUGUGUAAUGUGUUGUCUGCUAUUGGUUGGAUGUCUUAUGUGUCGAUAUAAGAGUGAGAAAACGGUUUUAAACAUAUCUUUUGAUCCGUAAGUCGGAAUCGAGUGAAACGAAAGAGAGAUGAAAGCUUAUAAAGUCUAGUUUGAUAUGACAUAAUAAUAUGAUGGAGUCGAGAAUGUGAAUAAUUGUUGUGAAAUGUGCAAUGUGAUUAUAUGUUAUUUGAUUGCUAUUAAUUGAUGAUUACAUGAUAUACAUGUUUAUUCAUGAUAGUAUACACGUGUGAUAAACGAUUUGGAUGACAUAGUUUUGUGUAAUGAUCGAUAUUGGAUAAGAAUAUAUGAAUUAUAGUGAUUGGAUUUGGUUGGUUGAUGGUUGAUUUAGAUAAGAUAACAGGUGGAUAGUCUAACAAAUAGACGAAACGCUGCCAAAUUAUCGAUAUGAUUUAUAUGAUAAUUGAUUUGUGAUAUGUUAUGUGGAAUAUGACUUGACUAUAUGGUAGAGUCAAAGCAUGAUUACGUGUUAAGUGAUAUGUGAUAAGUUUAAAGGGGUAUAUAAGUGGGUAUCGAUAUACGUGAUAUGUAUAUGCGAUAUAUUGUUUAGUGACUAUAGUAUUAUCUUAUUUUCGUAAAGGAUUUGGAGGAGACGUNNNNNNNNNNNNNNNNNNNNNNNNNNNNNNNNNNNNNNNNNNNNNNNNNNNNNNNNNNNNNNNNNNNNNNNNNNNNNNNNNNNNNNNNNNNNNNNNNNNNNNNNNNNNNNNNNNNNNNNNNNNGAGGAGACAGAGUUGAGGAUCCAGUGGUCAGGGAGUGGUGAGGAAAGUUGAUGAGAUUGGUGCAAGCUGGAAUAGUUGACAGUGAUUCUUCUUAUCGAAGAUGAUCUGACUUGGUAAGAAAUAUUGUAUAGUAUUAGUGGUGGAUUCUAAUUUCAAUACUGUAACCUGGAAGCGAUCCUGUUGUUUUGGGGGUUAAAUGUUCUCUUAAAAUUUUCUUAUUAUGGUUUUCAAGUUUGAAAUUCAGGUUUUGAAAUCAUUUGAUUUAUGUUCUCAUUCAAAGUUUUUAUUAAAUGUUUUCAAGUUUUAAAUUCUUUUGGAUUUUCAUUAUCUUUAAAUGAAAAUACCAGGUUUCAAAAGUAUUUUAAAAAGGGUUUUGUGUGGUGACGUCAGAAUCCAGACCCCCGGAUUCUCGGACUGUCACAGUUGGUAUCAGAGCAACAGGUUACAAGUUAUUGGAAUUUGAAUAUAGAUUAUAGUUUUAAGUUCUAUUGAUGAGGAAUGUUGUGUAACCUCACAUAGAGGUAUUGUGAGACUAUCUGGAAAUAGUCUAGAGAUGUGUCAGGAUUAGAAUCUAGUUAGAUGAUUAAGUUGAGUGUAUAAGUUUAGAGAGAUUUUGAUUCUUAAGUUUAGACAUAGGAUUUCUAGUUGAUUAGGAUUCUUAAGUUUAGACAUAUGAUUUCUAGUAUGUUGAUUAAUUGAGAUGGUGAAUUGUGGGAAAGGUCAGUAUUAGACCAAUAUAGAAGAGUUUGAUAGUGAAUGAUUGAAUUGAGAAUGGUGAAAAUGCAGAGUCAUAGUAUUCUGACUAUACUGCAUAUUUGAAACUGGAUUAUUGUAUUGAUUUGAGGAUGAUAUAAAUGCAUGGUUCAUAGUAUGUUGACCAUGUUGGAUAUUUGGAAAAGUAUAUUGUUUUGUGAGAUAUGAAGAGUUAGUGUAAGAUAUGAGUUGUACUGAAUCAGAAGGAGAGAUUUAUAGAUAGAGGUGGAUAGGUGAGAAGUGAAUGAUAGAGAGUAUGUGGAGUUGAGUCCAGCUAUUAGAGGUAAUGUCUGCGAAUAAGUUAGAACGUUAGUCCUCGACGACAACGCUUCGAGCUAAUCGGGGUUUCAAAUGGCAUCAAGGUGGGCCCAUAACCCACAGGUUGAUGAUCCAGACAAUCGAAUAUACAAUACCUAUCGAAGAUACGUUACGUGUUUGUGCUAUGGAUUUCAAAGGCAACUGGGAUAAAGUAGAAGAAUGUAAAUUACAUGGGCCAGAGUUAUUACGGACGAUAACGUCUACGAUGACAUCUUACGAGGCUAUUACGAGUCAAAUCGAUUGAUUAUCGAGAACGUUGAAAGGAUGACAUAAAUCGAAUAACGAUUUCGUAAAGUAGAGUGGGAAUUUGAGAAGACCUUGGCAAUACCUCUCUUCAACUAAAGAUUCUUUUGAUUAUUUUCUCAUCAGUGAGAUAUUAUCAUGAUAUCUUUUCUACAAAAGUUUUGAUAAAUGAGAUCUUCAAUUUCUCAAAUUCUAAGAUGACAUUGAUAUUGAUUAUUGGUAUGAGUUGGAAAGCAAAGAUGUGUGAUAAAGGUUUGUUGUGAAGAGAUAGUGAUGUUCCUUGAUAUUGUUUGACAUUUCUUGACAUUCCUUGAUACCCUUUCAUCUUCCUUGAUAUCCCUUGAUGUUCUUUGAUAUCUUUGAUAUUCCUUGACAUUCUUUGAUAUUCCUUGACAUUUAUUCAAUUUGAUUGGGAUGAACAACCCUAUUUAUAGGGGACACAAGGUAUACCUGUCUGUGUGAUAGGAGUUGGAUGGGACGCCAUCACUUGUGUGUGUUGUGAUUACAAGAAGGUUAACAACCUUUAGUAGUGUCUAAUAUGGACACGCAACAUUAAGUUCAUUUGAUCUUAUUGAUCUCCCAGUCACUCUUGUAUUCCAAUGUGACCUAUUUUGAAAAUAUCUUGUUCCUCCGAAAUUCCCAAAGAUUGAUUCUUGGGAAAUGAAUGUUGCAAUCGCGAAAGUUUGACUUUCCUUUUCCAUUAAAGUUAAAGGUAUGCCAAGAUCAAUCAAAGGUGGAUGACGAUAUGAUAUUACGAAGUGUGUACGUUUUAGUUUCUUCGGAGGAUUCCGAGGACGGAAUCCUUAUAAGGGGGGUAGAAUGUAAUAUCCCAUAUUAUUAAAUUUAGAUUUGAUUAUUAUAAAUCUAUUUGUCUAGAUAUUAUUGUUGGCUCUAGUUGAAUAUUGAUAUGAUUAUGUGAAUAGUUGUAUGUGAUUAUACUUGUUAUGUGGAUUAAUAUGGAUUUUACAGAUUAUGCGUCCUCCUUCUUUCUCUGAUUCCGAGGACGGAAUCCCUAUAAGGAGGGUAGAUUGUAAUAACCCGGAUUUUAAAAAUAUUUUUAUUAAUAUUAUAAAUGAUUUUCUUAAAAAGAAAGGAAUAAGAUUUAAUAUUUUAUUCCAGUUUAAGGAGUUUUCAAAAUUUUAUAUUAAACCCCGGGUUAUUGUGUUAUUGAUAAAUGAUUAUAUUUUUAAAACUGAUUUUCAUAUAUUGUUUCGAAAAUUCUAGAUGAUUAUUAUGUGAAUAUAUGUGUGAUGUGAGUAAGUGGUAUUGGUGGAUUUGUUGGUUAAUUAAUUAUGGUUAAUUAUGAGUAUUAUAUGAUUAAUAUAUGAAUUUUUGUGAAUUUUAUAUUAUCUGGUUUAUUGCGUUAACUGCUCAUAUGUGUUCGUAUUUGAGAGAUUUCAAUUUCUAUAUGCUCAGGAGAAAAUAUAGUUUAUUUGGAUAUUUUCAUAUCGAUUUAUGGAAUGUUAGAUGAUUUUAUAAUCGAUUUACGGAUUUAAUUGCGUAUAUUUAUAUUUAUUUAUUAAUUAUUUGACUUCCGUAAAACCGUCCACUCGUAACGAGGUAGCAAAUUUUCUUCCCGGAAGUUUCAACAAAACUCACCUUUAGCCUAAUUUGAAUAUUCCGGACAUUUUUCGUGUUUUGACUUUUUCGAUCCGGAGUACGGUUUUCCCCGGAGUCGGUCCGGCGGAGUUUUUCGGGUAUUUUAAUUGUUGAUAAUUAUCCAGUUUGUCUCGAUAAGCGUGAAACGAGAUAUUUUGAUUAUUAUAUUCAUCCUUAUCUUGUAAUAAUUGCAAUGGGACCCGCAGACCAAUAAUUGAGUUAAAAAGCCCCGUUUUGAUGAUUAUCUCGAAAACCGGUACCGAUUGGACCCCGCUUUAUUAAUAUAAAGCUAUUAAAUACGUAUUUUCAUGUCAUAAACGAUCCAAAGGGGUACCAAUUAUUUGUAAAUAUAAAUAGACUUUCCUGUAACUUAUUUUCACCGUAGAAAUCAUUUCAACAGUUUCUCUGCACGAAUAUCGAGAGAAACCGAGCGGUGUUCUUCGUGUUCUUCAUAAUCAAACGAAGAUUUGAAGGUGUUAUUGGAAUCCGAUGGAGGCGUAUAAAUAGUCAAAACGAAGCUAUCGACGCGUAGAAUCAAGUUUAAUCAUCCGUUUAUAUGCAGAUUCAACAGGUGAUUUUAGAUUAUUUUUCUAAAAUUCGAGUUUAUAUGAUUUAAAUGAUGAAUUUUUGCAAACGAUUCCGUUUAUGUGAUUUGAUGAUUCUAUGAUGUAGAGCAUGUUUUUCUCGUCGUUUUGGUAUAUUAUAUGUCAAAAACGGAGUUCAAUAACAUGUAGAAAAGUCAGUUUGAUUAUUGAAAUUGUGUUCUUGGUGUUCUUGAGCUUGUUGCCGGAAAAGUUUGAAUUUUGGCCGGAAAAUGGGUUCCGCUAAAUCUGGGCAGUAGUGGUAUAUAUGAAUAGAAAGAGGAGAGAAAGGGGAGUAUGCUGGUGUGCUUGGUUUGAGCGGAGGUGGCUCGAAUCGCCGCCAUCGGCGGCGGGAAGUCGCCGACUUCGGCCGGAUUUUCCGGCGAAUUCGCGCGACUUCUGCCUAAUUAAAGAUGGGGGAUUGAUUUAUGGGUGUGUGUACUACUGAUCUGGAGUAGAUGGUGAGUGGAGGACGCCUGGAAACGAAAAUCCGGCAAGUUAGUGUGAUGGCCGGCGGCUUAUUGCUGUUUGGUCACCGAAGUUUUGAAGAUGAUGAAGUUUUUGUACUCAGGUUUUGAAACUUAUGAAUUACCCCCUGUAACUUUGAAAAGUUGCACUUUAAACCCUGGACAAAACUUUCAAAAGUUUACAAAAUAAACCUUUUGAUUUAAUUUUCUAAAAUUGUUUUAUUUAAUUAUUUUAAAUUCCAAAAAUAGUUUUUAAUUAUUUCUUUAUUCAAAAAUAAAUCUAAAUUAGUUUAUUAAUUAAUUUUAAUUAGUAAUUAAUUAUUUUAAUUGGUCAAUUAAUUUAAAUAUUAAUUGAUUAAUUAUUUUAAUUAAUUAUUAAUUGAUUUUAAUUGAUUAAUUAAUUGGAUUUAAUUAAUCCUUUUUGAUUUAAAAAUUCCGAAAAAUAGUUUCGAGCUUUAAAAUAUUUUUCCAAAUUAUUUUCAAGGCUCGAUAAUUGUUUAUGAAUGAUUUCAAGUCCAAUUUCAAGUAUUUGGGACUUGAUUAUUUAUCCGAAAAGUGAUUCUUUUAUCGAUUUUAAUUCCGAAAAAUGUUUAAAAAUUCCAGAAAAUUCCCGAAAAAUCAUUUUUAACCCAAGACUUGAUUUAAUAUCAAUUGGGAUGGGAAACCUUAUGUGUUGUGUGUUGUCUGCUAUUGGUUGGAUGUGUUAUGUGCCGAUAGGAGAGUGAGAAAACUGUUUUGAGCAUAACUUUUGAUCCGUAAGUCGGAAUCAAGUGAAACGAAAGAGAGACAGAAGCUUAUAACGUCUAUUUUAAUAUGAUGUGACUAUAUGGCUGAGUCUAUAAGGUGAAUAAUUGUUGAUAAGUAUGCAUAAUGUGAUAAUAUGUGAUCUAAGUGCUAUCAGGUGAUGAUUAUGUGAAGUACGUGUUAGUUUUGAUAUUGUGAAGUGAUAAAUGAUUCGUAUGAUUGAUAUUGGAUAAGAAUAUAUGGAUUAUAGCUAUUGGAUUUUGUUGGUUGAUUAAUGAUUGAGAUAGGAUAAUAGGUGGAUAGUCUUAUACAUAGACGAGACGAUGUCGGAUUUUCGAUAAGGAUUUAUAUGAUAAUUGAUUGGUGAUAUGUUAUGUGGAAUAUGAUUGACUAUAUGUUAGAGUCAAAGCAUGCUUAUGUGUUACGUGGUAUCUGAUAAGUUUAAAGGGAUAUAUAAGUGGGUAUCGAUAUACGUGAGAUGUAUAUGCGAUCGAUUGUUUAGUGAUUAUAGUGUUAUCUUAUUCUCGUAAAGGAUUUGGACGAGACGUGUAUGCCCGAAGACGUUCAGAAAGUCACGUGGUGUUACAAAGCGAAUAAGGGAUGAAUCG